ensembl:rRNA 5S_rRNA 5S ribosomal RNA
GUUUACAGCAUGCCACCCUAAACUUGCUGGAUCUCAUCUAUCUCAGAAGCUAAGCUGGGUGGGGCCUGGUUAGUACUUGGAUGGGAGACCACCCAGGAAGACCAGAUGCUGUAGGUG